GGAAGUUAAGAAACUGUAUCUUAACUUUUAACUAAAAAAGCGAAGAACCAGUUCUUAAAUAAGGACUUUAAGAACCGAUUCUUAACUUUUUAGUUAAAAAUUAAGAAACAGUUUCUUAACUUCC
rfam:Brassica oleracea var. oleracea cultivar TO1000 chromosome C4, whole genome shotgun sequence